GGAUUCUUUGAUUUGGUAGUCGAUUACUAACAGCAACUACUCUCCAUUGUCUGGUUGCAGAUUUCAGGAAUGGGUUUUGGAUUUUCUAUGAGGGUGCUGUUGCUCUUUACAGUCUUUGGACACUAUGCAUUGGCAAAUUUCUACAGGUACAGUGGUAGAAAUGUUCAACCUUACGUGGAACAAGUACAGGCUUCUCCACGCAGCUA